rnacentral:rRNA from 1 species
CCCUUAGAUGUCCUGGGCCGCACGCGCGCUACACUGAGUGUCUGAGAUACGAGUCUGCCUGAUCCGGCAAGGUCUAGGUAAUCGCUAAAAGACACAUCAUGCUUGGGAUAGAUUAUUGCAAAUAUUAAUCUUGAACGAGGAAUUCCUAGCAAGCGCAAGUCAACAGCUUGCGUUGAUUACGUCCCUGCCCUUUGUACACACCGCCCGUCGCUACUACUGAUUGGAUGUUUAAGCGAGGUUCUCGAACUGCUAGCGACUUAGCUUCGGUGAGGUCGCAGUGUGGGAAGUGAACCUAGCUUUGGUGUCUAGAGGAAGUAAAAGUCGUAACA